ACACGAGUGGCGAACGGGUGAGUAACACGUGGGUGACCUGCCCUGCACUUCGGGAUAAGCCUGGGAAACUGGGUCUAAUACCGGAUAGGACCGCACCGUGAGGGUGUGGUGGAAAGUUUUUUCGGUGUGGGAUGGGCCCGCGGCCUAUCAGCUUGUUGGUGGGGUAAUGGCCUACCAAGGCGGCGACGGGUAGCCGGCCUGAGAGGGUGGACGGCCACAUUGGGACUGAGACACGGCCCAGACUCCUACGGGAGGCAGCAGUGGGGAAUAUUGCACAAUGGGCGGAAGCCUGAUGCAGCGACGCCGCGUGGGGGAUGACGGCCUUCGGGUUGUAAACUCCUUUCACCAUCGACGAAGGGUUUCUGACGGUAGAUGGAGAAGAAGCACCGGCUAACUACGUGCCAACAGCCGCGUUAAUACGUAGGGUGCGAGCGUUGUCCGGAAUUACUG
rnacentral:rRNA from 1 species